ensembl:lncRNA
UUUUUUUUUUUUUUUUUUUUUUUGUGGCUGCAUGUAUUCCAUAGUGUAUAUGUGCCACAUUUUCUUUAUCAAGUCUAUCACUGAUGGACAUUUGGGUUGGUUCCAAGUCUUUGCUAUUAUGAACAGUGACGCAAUAAACAUAGGUGUGUAUGUGUCUUUAUAGUAGAAUGACUUAUAAUCCUUUGGGUAUAUACCCAGUAAUGGGAUUGCUGGGUCAAAUGGUAUUUCUGGUUCUAGAUCCUUGAGGAAUCACCACACUGUCUUCCAAAAAAUAUUUUUAAAGGGAUUUACAGAGACAUCUGAUAAAGAAGGUUACUUAUAGUUUGCUUUGUGUGUACAAGUUUCCCCAAGAAAAUUUCAUAACAUUUACAUUACUGACCAAUGUUUUUGAAGUUGGACUUGCUUUUGCAGAGAAUGCCAGAAGUUCUGAGUCUGUUCUCAAAGUGGACUGGGUGCAAGAGAAAGGGCUGCUCAAAGGGUUUAUUCACGUUUUUAUUACCUAAGUAAAAGGCUAUUAGAGGCUGGCACAUAAGCCCCCAAUACAUAGGAGCUAUUAUUCUAGUGAUACCAUGCACUCUAAAAGAGGCAUGUAGUUGGCUGAAUGGGGUCCUGCAGAAAGACUACAUCCUUAUCCCCCUAUCUGUGAAUAUUGCUUUAUAUGGCGAAAGAUGUGAUUAAGUUAAGGGUCUUGCGAGGAGGAAUUUAUUCUGUAUUAUCUGGGCGAGCCCUUAUGCAAUGAUAUGCUUUUCCAAAAAAUAAAUAUUCGGUAGAGAGUUUUAAGACAUAUGAGACAGUAACAUGACCACAGAGGCAGAGAUUGCAGUGAUUUGGCCACAAGACAAGGAACUACUGGAGGCAGCAGAAGAUGGAAGAGGCAAGGAACAGAUUUUCCCUUAAAACCAUAGAGGGAGCAUUGCCCUCCUGAUGCUUUGAUUUCAUGCUUCUGGCCUUCAGAGCUGGGAGAGAAUACAUUUCUGUUGUUUUAAGUCAUCUAGUUUGUGGUAAUUUGCUACAGACGCUACAAGAAACAAAUAUAAAACAGUUAGCUCAGCUUGUGAAUACAGGUACUGCUUUCUGAGCUGAAGAAACCUUGAAGGGAAAAAAAGAUCUCAGCCAGUUACUACUACAUGUAAAUCAUCAAUUAAAAAAAAAAAAGAAAGAAAAGGAAAAAGGAAACCGUCACAAGACAUGAAACAGCAUGAUUUUUAAAGGUAACAUAAUGCUAGGAAAGCAUGAAUUGUGGCUACGGAUAAGAGAUGAAAUCAGAGAUAUAGACUAGGUCUUCAUAUAGCAGAGCUAAGGAGUCAAAAUUUCUCUAUGAUUUUGGCAUCAGUACCACCUCAGAGUUUUGUUUUUUUUUUUAAUGCAGAGUUAGGAACCACACUCCAAACGUUAUUCUAAUAGAAUCUGCAUUUUACCAGAUUCCCGGAUCAUUUUACAUACUCUGAAGUUUGAGAAGCACGCCUCUUCUCAAAGUAAGAGGUAAGGCUAUUGGGAAAUUUUGAAAGAUUUAAAGCAGAGAGGUGACAAGAUAAUAUUUGCAUUUCAGAUCAACCAAUCCAAAGGUAUUUUGAAGAACACAUUUAACUGGGAUAAAACCCAAAUCAGAGACAAGUGACUUCAACAGUAGUUGUUACAGAUUAUGAACUUUUGAACAAAGAUAUGGGUAAAUAUAGAUGGGGAAAAUGACAAAAAUUUAAGAAAUAUUUAAACACUGGUCUGAUAUAUAAUAAUGCUGCUUUCACCUAGGUUCUAUAAUGUGUCUGCUUAUUCGUGCCUAUAUUUCUAAAAGGAUCUUAGAACAGGCUUCUUUCUGCCUGUCCUAGUUUCCAUUGAGGCACCAAUAGGUGAUAAGACACAUAAGUGAGAAUGAGAUACAUUCUUCCCUACAUAUACAGGUGUACUAAAGAAAUUGAUCCAAGAAACUGUUACAUGAUUCUUUGAGCCUGCAACCAAACCAAAGCUAUUUUUUAAAAAGUGUCAGAGAAAGUAGAGGAGAAACUUCUUGGGAG